rnacentral:rRNA from 1 species
GAUGAACGCUAGCGGCAGGCCUAACACAUGCAAGUCGAGGGAGAAGCCCUUUCGGGGGCCGAAACCGGCGCACGGGUGCGUAACGCGUAUGCAACCUACCUUUCACAGGGGGAUAGCCCGAAGAAAUUUGGAUUAAUACCCCAUAAUAUUAUUGGAUGGCAUCAUUUGAUAAUUAAAACUGCGGUGGUGAAAGAUGGGCAUGCGUCCUAUUAGCUAGUUGGAGUGGUAACGGCACCCCAAGGCUACGAUAGGUAGGGGUCCUGAGAGGGAGAUCCCCCACACUGGUACUGAGACAGGGACCAGACUCCUACGGGAGGCAGCAGUGAGGAAGAUUGGUCAAUGGUCGGAAGACUGAACCAGCCAUGCCGCGUGCAGGAAGAAUGCCUUAUGGGUUGUAAACUGCUUUUAUAUGGGAAGAAUAAGGCGUACGUGUACGUUGAUGACGGUACCAUAUGAAUAAGCAUCGGCUAACUCCGUG